rnacentral:rRNA from 1 species
AGUGAACGCUGGCGGUAGGCCUAACACAUGCAAGUCGAACGGCAGCACAGUAAGAGCUUGCUCUUAUGGGUGGCGAGUGGCGGACGGGUGAGGACUACAUCGGAAUCUACUUUUUCGUGGGGGAUAACGUAGGGAAACUUACGCUAAUACCGCAUACGACUUACGGGUGAAAGCAGGGGAUCUUCGCACCUUGGGCGAUUGAAUGAGCCGAUGUCGGAUUAGCUAGAUGGCGGGGUAAAGGCCCACCAAGGCGACGAUCCGUAGCUGGUCUGAGAGGAUGGUCAGCCACACUGGAACUGAGACACGGUCCAGACUCCUACGGGAGGCAGCAGUGGGGAAUAUUGGACGAUGGGGGCAAGCCUGAUCCAGCAAUACCGCGUGGGUGAAGAAGGCCUUCGGGUUGUAAAGCCCUUUUGUUGGGAAAGAAAAGCAGCAGGUUAAUACCCCGCGGUUCUGACGGUACCCAAAGAAUAAGCACCGGCUAACUUCGUG